UACAGAGGUCCCAAGCGUUGUUCGGAUUCACUGGGCGUAAAGGGUGCGCAGGUGGGCUGAUAAGUUCGAUGUGAAAGCCCCGGGCUUAACCCGGGAAUGGCAUUGGAAACUAUUGGUCUGGAGGGUUGGAGGGGGGACUGGAAUUCUUGGUGUAGCAGUGAAAUGCGUAGAUAUCAAGAGGAACACCAGUGGCGAAGGCGAGUCCCUGGACAAACCCUGACACUGAGGCACGAAAGCCAAGGGAGCAAACAGG
rnacentral:rRNA from 1 species